rnacentral:rRNA from 1 species
CACGUAGGGCGCAAGCGUUGUCCGGAAUUAUUGGGCGUAAAGAGCUCGUAGGUGGUUUGUUACGUCUGCUGUGAAAAACCUAGGGCUUAACCCUGGGCUUGCAGUGGAUACGGGGCAGACUAGAGGUAGGUAGGGGAGAAAAUGGAAAUUUUCCUGGUGUAGCGGGUGAAAUGCGCAGAGUAUCAGGGAGGGAAACACCCGGGUGGGCGAAAGGGCCGGGUUUCUCUGGGCCCUUUAACCCUGACGCGUUUGAGGGCGCGGGAAAGCCCAGGGAGGCGAAAACGG